GGCUGAUCCUGAGUGUAAGUGGUGUUUACAAUCUAAUUGAUUAACAACCAGUUACCAGAUUUAUUUAUUCUCGCUCCCCACUCCCACUGCUUCAUUUGACAGCCUUAA
rnacentral:Y_RNA from 1 species